UGGGGGAUCGUCUAAUGGCAGGACCGCAGACUCUGAAUCUGCUUAUCUAGGUUCGAAUCCUAGUCCCCCAGCCG
rnacentral:tRNA from 1 species